UUACGGCCAAAUCAGGUCGAAACACCUGAUCUCGUACGGUCACUGAAGUUAAGCAAUAUCGAACCUUGUCAUACCUAGAUGGGUGACUACUCGGGAAUACCAGCUGUUGUAAG